rnacentral:tRNA from 1 species
GCAAGCAUAGUUUAAACCAAACACUAGGCUGUGAUCCUAAAAAUAGAAGUUCAAACCUUCUUGCCUGCC